UCCUAUUUUAGACUGACAAAUUUAUUUCGUUCAGUAACUCUUUAGCUUUCACUUCAUUCUGUUUAUUCUCAUCGGAAGCGGCUGGACUUUUCCCGUGGAGCCGCCAUUUUGGGGCUCAACCUUCAAGGGGUGGAACCGAGGUGAAGAGGGGGUGAAUGCGGCAGGUAGAGAGGGGAAAACCGCGUCUUUUCUUCUCUAAUCUUGAAAUUGUGGCCUAAGUCAAUACGCGUUCCACCAUUUUAAACUGAUUUUCCAUUGUAUUUUCACGCACUAGUUCUUUUCAGUGUUUUAUUUUUCCGUGUGAAUCUCAUCAAACGUCAUGGGUGCUUCAGAAGAUGCCAAGCAAGAACCAGAACAGUUCAGGAAAUUGUUCAUCGGAGGGUUAGAUUACAGAACAGAUGACGAUGGCCUGAAAAGUUUCUUUGAACAAUGGGGAGACAUCGUCGAUGUUGUCGUAAUGAAAGAUCCAGUGACCAAGAAGUCCCGUGGCUUUGGUUUCAUCACUUACUCAAGAGCACAUAUGGUUGACGAUGCCAUGGCACACAGGCCACACAAAAUCGAUGGCCGAGAAGUAGAAAGCAAGAGAGCAGUUCCUAGAGAUGAAAUCGGAAACCCAGAAGCUAACGCAACUGUGACCAAAUUAUUCGUCUCCGGAUUGAAAGACUCAGAAGAAGAAGACUUAAGGGAAUAUUUCAGCCAGUUUGGAAACAUCAAAGGCAUCAAAAUUGUUGUAAAUAAAGACACAGGAGCCAAGAGAGGAUUUGCUUUCGUUGAAUUUGACGACUAUGAUGUUGUAGAUAAAAUUGUCUUGAGCAAGAAACACACAAUCAAAGGAAAAUUGGUUGACACAAAGAAAGCUGUAAACAAAGGUGACAUGCCCAUGGGUGGCGGCGGUGGCCGUGGCGGUAUGGGCGGACGAGGGCGAGGAGCCGGUCGAGGAUCCAGCCGUGGUGGUGGCGGUGGUGGAGCCUGGGGCGGCAACAGCUGGGGUGGUCGUGGUGCUAGCGGCGGCAACUCCUGGGGUGGAAAUGGUGGUGGUAGCAUGAAGAGCAAUUACGGUCCAUGGGAGAGCCAGCAAAGUGGCGGCUGGGGAGGCCAACAAAGCCAAGGUUGGGGUGCUGCACCUGCUGCAGGUGGAAACUUCGGUGGAAGUUCUGGUGGCUGGGGUUCCGGUAACGAUUACCAACAAGGAUAUGGUGGUGGCCCAGUCAGGAAUAGUUUCGGUGGUAACAGGAGUGCACCCUACGGAAGUGGUGGUGGCGGCUACGGAGGUGGCAGUUACGGCGGUGGCCGAGGUGGACGUUACUAAAGCAGAGCGUCAUUACUAAUGCAAAUGAAUGCAACGCAACACUAAAGAAGGUAUAAAACUUAUGAGGAUGCCCUCCAGACUGCAAUCGAUCUCAACACCCCUGGAUGGAGUGGAGACUUGCAACUUUUUCCAGUAAAUCCUUGUCAUUGCACAGCCACAAGAAUUCUUGGAGUGACACUUGUUUGCUGACAACCUUGCAGAGAUGUCUUCUCCUGCUAUGUAUUUCUAAUACCAUUUUCCUUCAGGCUUCAUCCUUAUCUCUCCUCAUGGUUCCUUUGUCGAAUCUUCAAGAUGAUUUGACUUUUCGUAAUGGUGGCGUAGUUUCAAAAGAUGAAAGCACAAAUCUGCCUGCAGUAUGACAAAAUAGCAAGCUCUCAAUUGGAUGCGUUCUGCGGGCGUUUCGAUGGCAGUAAGAUGGGUAACUUUUGCACGCGCAUUGGGAUUGGCGGCACGCGCACCACGCAGGCUCUUAAGUCUACCUGGAGAUCGCAAGCAGUAGAGGCAGCAAGCGCAUCGGGAAUAUUUACACAACAGUAAAUCCUAGCAUGGCGGCAUGAACUACUGCCACUGUCAGGUGACAAUCAAUCAGCCCGAAGACACAAGCAUUUUCGACACUGACAGAAAGACUGAUUUUCUUUGUUUAACAACGUAAAUAUGUUGAAUAAAUUAAUUUGCCU